UGGAAGACGACGGCGGCGGCGAUGAGACAGCUCCACUAGGAAUACAACGGCGGUGGCUUCUUUGUUGUUUCUGUGGUGGAAGACCCACGCCUACGACACCGCGGCAGGGGGGAAAUCCCCUGCUCCCCCGCUCCCUCGCCGCAGCUGCCUCCUGCUCCGCCAACGCCACCGCGGCGGACGAUGAGAUGCCCUGCUGGCUCCCAACGGCGAUGUCAACCUCGACGGCGCGAGCUUCUGCUCGGGGGACGGCGCGGUUCAGCGACGACGAGAUCUUCCUCACCAAAUCGCCGACCAAAUCGUCGAGGAGAGCAAGUUCCUCAUCCACCGCACCGCCACCUCCUCUGCUCUCGUCCUUCCAGGUCAGGAGAGCAACAACGCACACGCAGCGCAGAUUUGUGCGUCUUCUCCAUGCAAUCUUGUUUACUUAAUCUUCAGCCUGGGCCAUCUCUGUCACCAACGCCUACAACCUGGGAACAUGAGCUCUGGCGGCAACACAAAGAAUUCAGUAAACACUAUUUUUGCAGAAUUGUUGUUGUCAGUUAACUGAAACUACAGCACAUUCCAAUCAAUUGGCUGCAGUAAAGAACUGAAGAGAUGGUAUGAUAACAACUGCUCUAUUUGUUCUAUCUAAUCUGUUCUUUUCUAUUUAAGAAAAAUAUAAGCAUGCAUUUACCAGUAGGCGAGAUCAUCUAGCUACUUUGUAGUGUUAUUAUUGUCUAAAUAGGAACAUUUUACCUCAUUAAAAGUACAGCCAUCUCCAAAACUACAACACAUUUAGCUACUGAACAUUUACCUGGUGAGAUGUUUAGUCAUGCAUCCUAAUUCAGACGCUGUUGUGUGUUUAAGUAAUCUGUCAGAAGUGUUUAUUUCCACGCAUGCAUUAUCAAAUUGGCUGUGAGCCGUAAGGUGGAAUGCUUAGUAUUUUUGCUC